CCUACGGGUGGCAGCAGUGGGGAAUAUUGGACAAUGGGGGCAACCCUUAUCCAGCCACGCCGCGUGAGGGAAGAAGGUUUUCGGGUUGUAAACCUCUGUCAGUGGGGACGAUAAUGACGGUACCCACGGAGGAAGCCACGGCUAACUACGUGCCAGCAGCCGCGGUAAUACGUAGGGGGCAAGCGUUGUCCCGGAUUAAUGGGUGUAAAUGGAGCGCAGGCGGGAUGUUAAGUCAGAAGUGAAAAUUAUGGGCUCAACUCAUAACCUGCUUUUGACACUGAUGUUCUUGAGUGAAGUAGAGGUAAGCGGAAUGCCUAGUGUAGCGGUGAAAUGCGUAGAUAUCAGGAGGAACCCCAGUGGCGAAGGCAGCUUGCUGGGCUUCUACUGACGCUGAGGCUCGAAAGCGUGGGGAGCAAACAGGAUUAGAUACCCCGGUAGUC
rnacentral:rRNA from 1 species